GUGGAGCAGGACCACUGGUUGUUACAGGCAUUGCUCUCACUGCUGAGGGAAUUGUCAUUCCCAAAUUGGAUGCAGACAGGAUUAAAAGGGAUGGAGCUAGAGCAAUGGUUUUUCCGGGUGUUGCACUCCCUGGAGAAGUUGUUGUUGGAGCUUGGGAGAGAAU